rnacentral:rRNA from 1 species
CACGUAGGGCGCAAGCGUUGUCCGGAAUUAUUGGGCGUAAAGAGCUCGUAGGCGGUCCGUUGCGUCCGCUGUGAAAACUCGGGGCUUAACCCCGAGCCUGCAGUGGAUACGGGCAGACUAGAGUUCGGUAGGGGAGUCUGGAAUUCCUGGUGUAGCGGUGAAAUGCGCAGAUAUCAGGAGGAACACCGGUGGCGAAGGCGGGACUCUGGGCCGAUACUGACGCUGAGGAGCGAAAGCGUGGGGAGCAAACAGG